rnacentral:rRNA from 1 species
CGCUCGAGGAUGAGCUCGUGUCCUAUCAGCUUGUUGGUGAGGUAACGGCCCACCAAGGCUUUGACGGGUAGCUGGUCUGAGAGGAUGGUCAGCCACAUUAGGACUGAGACGCUGCCCAGACUCCUACGGGAGGCUGCAGUCGAGGAUCUUUUGCAAUGCCCGCAAGGGUGACAAUGCGACGCCGCGUGUGUGAUGAAGGUCUUCGGAUCGUAAAACACUGUCGGCCGGGAUGAAUGACAGUACCGGCAGAGGAAGCCACGGCUAACUCCGUGCCAGCAGCCGCGGUAAUACGGAGGUGGCAGGCGUUACUCGGAUUGAUUGGGUGUAAAGGGUGUGU